AAGAGGUCAGGCCGCCAUCAGACAUGCAAGAUUUUCCAAAUCAUUAAAAACAAAGGAAAAAAAAACCCAGAGGGGUGACGCUCCUGCGACUGUGAUUCUCUGGUCUGGUAAUAAGCGAGUGCUGCUACUGUGAUUAGAUCAAUUUUCAAGAAUGUAUAGGAUUCUGAAACAAAAAGUUUCUCCUGGAGCUUUGGGAGUUUCUUCUUUUACGAUUUUAGCCAAGUCACAGAAAUGGAUUCGAGCUGUGGUACCUAAACCUACGAGUUAUACGACUAAUGUGACCACAAGAAGAGGGGUAUUGAAUUAAUUUGCUUUUAUUAUUGUUGUAUUUCUCUUUUGUUCUUUAAAGUGUGUGUACAUAUAUUUUGUCAUUGUCAUAAUCAUAUCUGAUUCAAUGUGUUUUAGUGUUGAGUUGUUGUCCUAUCACCUAUGUGGAUUUGUUGAUUAAUUUUGCUUUCAUGUUUUUUGACUGCUUGGUCCUUGGACAAUGGGCUUACAUAUGAGUAACCAUGUCUUUCUAUUUUGAUGUAUAGAAACAUCACAAUAGGUGAAGCAUUUUUUGGACAUAACAUGAUGUGGAUAUGGUUGCCAAUAAUAAAAAAAAAAGUGCAUGAUACGGAUGUGGUUUGGUGUGCGACACAUCUGUUGUAAAUUAAGUAUUUGCAAGGCUUGUUAGACAAAAGAAGAGAGAAUCAUAUUCGUAUAUUACAAAGCUUUCUGCCUUGGCACAUGUACCCCUAAUGCAUGAAUAUUUCAAUAUGAGUGGAGAAUUCACAUUGGAUAAAAUCCGUUUCACAUUAAGAAAUCUUAACAGGGUACCUAAUCACGAUAACAAGAGAAAUUCCAUUGUGUUUGGGUGGUUUUGACAAAGGAUAGUCAACCCCAUGGUUUCUAUAUGAAGCUCAAUGACUAGAAAGUGGAUCAUUGUGGGAUCUUGAGUAAGAUCAACUAUAACGCCUAUCAAGUGCACUUGCCUCAUAUGAAUACUUC